rnacentral:rRNA from 1 species
UAGGUAGGUGGUGACAUUUGUCUGGGGUGAAAUCCCUGAGCUUAACUCAGGAAGUGCCUUGGAAACGGUGUCACUAGAGUGCUGGAGAGGUUCGCAGAAUUCUUGGUGUAGCGGUGAAAUGCGUAGAGAUCAAGAGGAAUACCAGAGGCGAAGGCGGCGAACUGGACAGUUACUGACACUGAACUACGAAAGCGUGGGGAGCAAACAGGAUUAGAUACCCUGGUAGUCCACGCUGUAAACGAUGGGUACUAGGAUUGGUGGGAGUUGACCCCUGCCGAUCCGGAGCUAACGCGAUAAGUACCCCGCCUGGGAAGUACGGUCGCAAGACUAAA